GUUAUUUUGGCAGAAUAGUGCGAUUGAUUUAGAAUCUUUUUAUAUAAGAUUUAUCUUAUAAAUAAUA
rnacentral:tRNA from 1 species